rnacentral:lncRNA from 1 species
UUUUUUUAAACCGAGCAUAACACCCCUUUUCAUUACUUCGAACGGAAAUACAGCAGUAUCACAACGUUUUGCCAACAGAAAAACAGAGAAAAGUACUGGGUACGACAACAUGCUCUCGCAGACUACCAACUUUCAUCUAUGGAACAGCCGCUCGCCAUCGAACCGACUGCCAUAGCCUGAAAGCCACUAAUCAAAGCAGAGCAGGGAAAAGUAGUCUCUAAUACAGCAAAACCGUAUGCAUAGAACUUGACCAAAUAUACGAGCUAACAACUAGCAGGAUAUCCCCCAGAGAUCAUCAAAGGACAACGUGUUCAUCCUCCUGUGAUCCCCCGCCUCGCUGUCUCGCAGAGCUUCAUCAACUGCAUGGUAUUAGUCCUUACCAACUCCGCACCAGAACGUAGCUCUCCUGCGUCGCCCUCCUGCUGCAAUCCUGCCCAAUAU